CGGCUGUGGAAGCAAAUGUGCCACGUCAAGGCUGGAUACUGAACGCCGACGCAGGAAAACGCAGGAUGCGCUGGGUCUCGGGGACAGGAAGGAACCAAGCGAGAAAGUCGCAAUGGGCUCUAAAAGGCUGGAUGGUGUUUGGACAAACUCUUACAAUUUUCCACCAAGGAAUGUGUAUGGCCCCAGAGAGACUGCCAACCACAGAGACAAAAUAAAAUGAAGAGAAAAUGAAGAAGAUAGACAGAAAGAUGGGGAGGGUAAAACGAUGAUAUAAUAUGAUAUAUAUGAAGUUAAAAAUAAAAAUUGCUGCGCUUCUACGCAGAGACAGAAAUAUGUGAAUAGUUAUGUAAGAAUAGCAGAUAUGUUUAUGAAGUGGAAAAUCAGUCCAGGCAAAAUAUUCGAAAAUCACUGCAAUAAUGGCUUUAGCAGAACAGGAAUUCAGAAACCAAACUAAACUAAAAUCUUCCAUAUGUUUGAAGUCAUAUUGAUGUAUCCAAAGUAUUUUUAAUAUUUACGCUGAAUAUAUAAUAGUGAAAUAAAGCAUAAUUCAGUUUAUAUGUUUUCACGUCUGUGAAAAAAGUGUAUGACCUCCAGAAACUCGAAUAAAUUGUAUGUAAAUUCUAAUAUUUGACAUUA